rnacentral:rRNA from 1 species
UACAGAGGGGGCAAGCGUUGUUCGGAAUUACUGGGCGUAAAGGGCGCGUAGGCGGCCGCCUAAGUCAGACGUGAAAUCCCUCGGCUCAACCGGGGAACUGCGUCUGAUACUGGGUGGCUUGAAUUCGGGAGAGGGAUGCGGAAUUCCAGGUGUAGCGGUGAAAUGCGUAGAUAUCUGGAGGAGCACCGGUGGCGAAGGCGGCAUCCUGGACCGAGAUUGACGCUGAGGCGCGAAAGCCAGGGGAGCAAACGGG